AUUGAACGCUGGCGGCAGGCCUAACACAUGCAAGUCGAGCGGAUGAGGAGAGCUUGCUCUCUGAUUUAGCGGCGGACGGGUGAGUAAUGCCUAGGAAUCUGCCUGGUAGUGGGGGAUAACGUUCCGAAAGGAACGCUAAUACCGCAUACGUCCUACGGGAGAAAGCAGGGGACCUUCGGGCCUUGCGCUAUCAGAUGAGCCUAGGUCGGAUUAGCUAGUUGGUGAGGUAAUGGCUCACCAAGGCGACGAUCCGUAACUAGUCUGAGAGGAUGAUCAGGCACACUGGAACUGAGACACGGUCCAGACUCCUACGGGAGGCAGCAGUGGGGAAUAUUGGACAAUGGGCGAAAGCCUGAUCCAGCCAUGCCGCGUGUGUGAAGAAGGUCUUCGGAUUGUAAAGCACUUUAAGUUGGGAGGAAGGGUCGUAGAUUAAUACUCUGCAAUUUUGACGUUACCAACAGAAUAAGCACCGGCUAACUUCGUGCCAGCAGCCGCAGUAAAAC
rnacentral:rRNA from 1 species